AGCUUUGCUCAGUGGCAGUAUCAUAGUUAGCGAGGUUCAUUCGAGGCACAGUUAUUGCUAAUUGAAAACUUUUAAUUCUUUUAUCAGGGGAUAGAUAGAUAUUAAGUCUGAAUUGCUGUGCUCAAUGGGA
rnacentral:snRNA from 1 species